rnacentral:rRNA from 1 species
UACGUAGGGUGCAAGCGUUAAUCGGAAUUACUGGGCGUAAAGCGUGCGCAGGCGGUUUUGUAAGUUUGUCGUGAAAUCCCCGGGCUCAACCUGGGAAUGGCGAUGAAGACUGCAGGGCUAGAGUUUGGCAGAGGGGGGUAGAAUUCCACGUGUAGCAGUGAAAUGCGUAGAUAUGUGGAGGAACACCGAUGGCGAAGGCAGCCCCCCUGGGUCAAAACUGACGCUCAUGCACGAAAGCGUGGGGAGCAAACAGG